rnacentral:sRNA from 1 species
ACUUUCUUCAAAGAACUAAAUGCAAAAACGAAAUAGAUUAAGAGUAAUUAGAGUUUAAAGAUUCUAAAUCACAAA